GGAUCUUAAUUUGAGACAGUUUGCUACAGUGGGACAAUCAUCCUACAGCAACAGUAUAUGAACCAGGACAAACGAGAACUAAGGAGAACCAGACAACAUGGUUCCUGAAUGUGUUUCCAAUGCAUUACCAACAACAAGAUCAGAACAAUAGUUAUUUAUAGCUACUGUACAGUAGAUCUGUUCUCCUCCUACAGAUCUCCUCCCCAGUUCGCUGGCGAAUUAACUAUAAUGUAACUACAUCCCCUUUACCUGUAACUACAUCCCCUUUACCAGUAACUACAUCCCCUGUACCAGUAACUACAUCCCCUGUACCAGUAACUACAUCCCCUGUACCAGUAACUACAUCCCCUGUACCAGUAACUAACUCCCCUGUACCAGUAACUACUCCCCUGUACCUGUAACUACAACACCUACAGCCUCUGCGCCUUUAUCUACAGCCUCUGCGCCUUUAUCUACAGCCUCUGCGCCUUUAUCUACAGCCUCUGCGCCUUUAUCUACAGCCUCUGCGCCUUUAUCUACAGCCUCUGCGCCUUUAUCUACAGCCUCUGCACCAUUAUCUACAGCCUCUGCACCAUUAUCUACAGCCUCUGUACCAUUAUCUACAGCCUCUGUACCAUUAUCUACAGCCUCUGUACCAUUAUCUAUAGCCUCUGUGCCUUUAUCUAGUCUCUUUACCUUUAUCUACAGCCUCUGUACCAUUAUCUACAGCCUCUGUACCAUUAUCUACAGCCUCUGUACCAUUAUCUACAGCCUCUGUGCCUUUAUCUAGUCUCUUUACCUUUAUCUACAGCCUCUGUGCCUUUAUCUACAGCCUCUGUACCAUUAUCUACAGCCUCUGUGCCUUUAUCUACAGCCUCUGUACCAUUAUCUACAGCCUCUGUACCAUUAUCUACAGCCUCUGUGCCUUUAUCUAGUCUCUUUACCUUUAUCUACAGCCUCUGUGCCUUUAUCUACAGCCUCUGUGCCUUUAUCUACAGCCUCUGUAACUAAUCACAGCGCCUUUAACUGUAAUUAUAGCCCCUUUACCUGUAACAACGUCCCCUGAAACUGUAACCAAAGCCCCUGUAUCUGUAACCACAGGGCCCGUAUCUGUAACCACAGGGCCCGUAUCUGUAACCACAGGGCCCGUAUCUGUAAACACAGGGCCCGUAUCUGUAACCACAGGGCCCGUAUCUGUAACCACUGGGCCCGUAUCUGUAAACACAGGGCCCGUAUCUGUAACCACAGGGCCCGUAUCUGUAUCCACAGGGCCCGUAUCUGUAACCACAGGGCCCGUAUCUGUAACCACAGGGCCCGUAUCUGUAACCACAGGGCCCGUAUCUGUAACCACAGGGCCCGUAUCUGUAACCACAGGGCCCGUAUCUGUAACCACAGGGACCGUAUCUGUAACCACAGGGCCCGUAUCUGUAACCACAGGGCCCGUAUCUGUAACCACAGGGCCCGUAUCUGUAACCACAGGGCCCGUAUCUGUAACUGCAACUACAUCCCCUGUAACUACAACCUCUGUAACUUUAACCAAUGUGCCUGUAACAGCUACAGCCUGGUCCAUCAGACUGAGCCUAGUCCCUCUGCUGCUGGGCCUCUGACAACAUAACGCAUUGAUUACAACAUAAGGAGAUGUACAGUGAUUUGUAUGUAUUUCAAAAUACGUACAAUUAAAGUCAUGAUUUUUGUA